rnacentral:rRNA from 1 species
AUUGAACGCUGGCGGUAUGCUUAACACAUGCAAGUCGAACGGUAACAGGCCUUCGGGCGCUGACGAGUGGCGGACGGGUGAGUAACGCGUAGGAAUCUGCCUCAUAGUGGGGGACAACGUGGGGAAACUCACGCUAAUACCGCAUACGCCCUACGGGGGAAAGCGGGGGAUCUUCGGACCUCGCGCUAUGAGAUGAGCCUGCGUUAGAUUAGCUAGUUGGUAGGGUAAAGGCCUACCAAGGCGACGAUCUAUAGCUGGUCUGAGAGGACGAUCCGCCACACUGGGACUGAGACACGGCCCAGACUCCUACGGGAGGCAGCAGUGGGGAAUAUUGGACAAUAGGCGCAAGCCUGAUCCAGCAAUACCGCGUGUGUGAAGAAGGCCCUAGGGUUGUAAAGCACUUUCAAUGGGGAGGAAACCCUGCCGGUCAAUACCCGGCAGCUUGACAUUACCUAUAGAAGAAGCACCGGCUAACUCCGUGCCAGCCGCCGCAGUAAGAC